UAGGGAAUCUUCCACAAUGGACGCAAGUCUGAUGGAGCAACGCCGCGUGAGUGAAGAAGGUUUUCGGACCGUAAAGCUCUGUUGUUGGUGAAGAAGGAUAGAGGUAGUAACUGGCCUUUAUUUGACGGUAAUCAACCAGAAAGUCACGGCUAACUACGUGCCAGCAGCCGCGGUAAUACGUAGGUGGCAAGCGCUGUCCGGAUUUAUUGGGCGUAAAGCGAGCGCAGGCGGAAGAAUAAGUCUGAUGUGAAAGCCCUCGGCUUAACCGAGGAAUUGCAUCGGAAACUGUUUUCUUGAGUGCAGAAGAGGAGAGUAGAACUCCAUGUGUAGCGGUGGAAUGCGUAGAUAUAUGGAAGAAUACCAGUGGCGAAGGCGGCUCUCUGGUCUGCAACUGACGCUGAGGCUCGAAAGCAUGGGUAGCGAACAGGAUUAGAUACCCUGGUAGUCCAUGCCGUAAAACGAUGAGUGCUAAGUGUUGGGAGGCUUCCGCCUCUCAGUGCUGCAGCUAACGCAUUAAGCACUCCGCCUGGGGGAGUACGACCGCAAGGUUGAAAC
rnacentral:rRNA from 1 species